UGACAAUGAAAAUAUCCUAUUUAAAAGCUCCCACCUUAAGGUACCCUAGGUACUACCUUAGCUAAACAUGAACUCAACCUCUCCCAAGCCUUGGGUCUUCCUUUGUGACCCUUAGAGCAUCCCAUUAUGUGGUUCUCUUGAGUGCUCAGGUGGUCCACCAAUGGUUUUUUGGGACUGUACCUUAGGUACACCUUAAUGACCUUUAAGUAUUACCUUAAGAGACCCUAGGUACUACCUUAACUAAACUUGAACUCAACCUCUCCCAAGCCUCGGGCUUUCCUUUGUGAGCCUUAGAGCAUCUCAUUAUGUGGUUCUCUUGAGUGCUCAAGUGGUCCACCAAAGGUUUUUUGCAAUUGUACCUUAGGUACUACCUUAAGAGCCCUUAGGUACUACCUUAAUGGCCUUUAGGUACUACCUUAAGGGACCCUAGGUACUACCUUAGCUAAACAUGAACUCAACCUCUCCCAAGCCUCGGGUCUUCCUUUGUGACCCUUAGAGCAUCCCAUUAUGCGGUUCUCUUGAGUGCUCAAGAGGUUCAUCAAAGGUUUUUUGGGACUGUACCUUAAGUACUACCUUAAGGGCCCUUAGGUACUACCUUAAUGACCUUUAGGUACUAGCUUAAGGGACCCUAGGUACUACCUUAAGGUAAACAUGAACUCAACCUCUCCCAAGCCUCGGGCCUUCUUUUGUGACCCUUAAAGCAUCCCAUUAUGUGGUUCUCUUGAGUGCUCAAGUGGUCUACCAAUGGUUUUUUGGGACUGUACCUUAGGUACUACCUUAAGGGCCCUUAGGUACUACCUUAAUGGCCCUUAGGUACUACCUUAAGGGACCCUAGUUAUUACCUUAGCUAAACAUGAACUCAACCUCUCCCA
rnacentral:lncRNA from 1 species